UCAGGAAGUAUGGGGAAAAGAUCAUGUUGAACUUGAAGGAGUCUGAUCUUCUACCAAGGAUCUCCAAGAAGAGAUCAAGAAGACGUGGUGCCUCGUCGAAGAAUGUGAACACAGAUAAGCAUUUGGUCUGUUCUAUGGACAGGCAAGGUCCACCACCAUGGGAUAUAUUCAUCUUUGGGCGGUGAUGGCUGCUCUUGGAUGUGAUGGUUGAAGGGAUUGAUGCUGCAGUUCCGCCCUCAAAGAAGCCAGAUUCAAGGGAGUUGCUUGAUCAAGCAUUGAAAGAGAACAGAGUUCUGUUGACAAGAGAUACCAAACUGUUGAGACACCAAGAUUUGGCUAAGCAUCAAAUAUAUAGUCAAGAGCCUUCUGAAAAAUGAGCAGCUUCUUGAGGUGAUAGAGACUUUCCAGCUAAAGAUCAGCGAGAAUCAAUUGAUGUCAAGAUGCACAAAAUGCAAUGGAAAAUUUAUCCAGAAACCGCUGACCAUUGAAGAAGCUAUUGAAGCAGCAAAGGGUUUCCAAAGAAUACCAAACUGUUUAUUUAACAAAAAUUUGGAGUUUUGGCAGUGUAUGAACUGCCAUCAGCUCUACUGGGAGAGUUCAAGAAGAUACAUAAACUGUUGAGGAGAUGCUUAAUGUUUGUUGUAUGGCUACUCAGUAUCAUAACGCAGUCCAGAAGUUCAUGGAUGUAUGCAAGUUGAGUGAAUGAUUCAUGUUUUUUCUUUCUUUUGCUGAAGAGUUUCAUGUCACUUUCUCUUGGCCUUGUUUCCCUCGUCAUGUCUGAGCAACCCAAAUGUGCUUUGUAAUAAUAAUUUUUUGGUUUAGAAAAGAAAAAACUUUUAACAAAGAAAAAGAAAUGAAAGU